rnacentral:rRNA from 1 species
AUUGAACGCUGGCGGCAGGCCUAACACAUGCAAGUCGAGCGGAUGAAGGGAGCUUGCUCCUGGAUUCAGCGGCGGACGGGUGAGUAAUGCCUAGGAAUCUGCCUGGUAGUGGGGGAUAACGUCCGGAAACGGGCGCUAAUACCGCAUACGUCCUGAGGGAGAAAGUGGGGGAUCUUCGGACCUCACGCUAUCAGAUGAGCCUAGGUCGGAUUAGCUAGUUGGUGGGGUAAAGGCCUACCAAGGCGACGAUCCGUAACUGGUCUGAGAGGAUGAUCAGUCACACUGGAACUGAGACACGGUCCAGACUCCUACGGGAGGCAGCAGUGGGGAAUAUUGGACCAUUGGCGAAAGCCUGAUCCAGCCAUGCCGCGUGUGUGAAGAAGGUCUUCGGAUUGUAAAGCACUUUAAGUUGGGAGGAAGGGCAGUAAGUUAAUACCUUGCUGUUUUGACGUUACCAACAGAAUAAGCACCGGCUAACUUCGUG